rnacentral:rRNA from 1 species
GAGACAGCAGUAGCCGCGGUAAUACGAAGGGGGCUAGCGUUGCUCGGAAUGACUGGGCGUAAAGGGCGCGUAGGCGGCGGCCAAAGUCAGGCGUGAAAUUCCUGGGCUCAACCUGGGGGCUGCGCUUGAUACUUGGUUGCUUGAGUGGGGAAGAGGGUUGUGGAAUUCCCAGUGUAGAGGUGAAAUUCGUAGAUAUUCGGAAGAACACCAGUGGCGAAGGCGACUGACUGGACAAGUAUUGACGCUGAGGUGCGAAAGCGUGGGGAGCAAACAGGAUUAGAUACCCCGGUAGUCCCUGUCUCUUAUAC